rnacentral:rRNA from 1 species
GACGAACGCUGGCGGCGUGCUUAACACAUGCAAGUCGAACGGUAAGGCCCUUCGGGGUACACGAGUGGCGAACGGGUGAGUAACACGUGGGUGAUCUGCCCUGCACUUCGGGAUAAGCCUGGGAAACUGGGUCUAAUACCGGAUAGGACUCCGGACUGCAUGGUCUGGGGUGGAAAGCUUUUGCGGUGUGGGAUGGGCCCGCGGCCUAUCAGCGUGUUGGGGGGGUGAUGGCCUACCAAGGCGACGACGGGUAGCCGGCCUGAGAGGGUGACGGGCCACACUGGGACUGAGAUACGGCCCAGACUCCGACGGGAGGCAGCAGUGGGGAAUAUUGCACAAUGGGCGCAAGCCUGAUGCAGCGACGCCGCGUGAGGGAUGACGGCCUUCGGGUUGUAAACCUCUUUCAGCAUCGACGAAGCGAAAGUGACGGUAGGUGCAGAAGAAGGACCGGCCAACUACGUGCCAGCAGCCGCAGUAA